GCGGGAAUAGCUCAGUUGGUAGAGCGAUACCUUGCCAAGGUAUAGGUCGCGAGUUCGAGUCUCGUUUCCCGCUCCA
rnacentral:tRNA from 25 species